rnacentral:rRNA from 1 species
UACGUAGGGGGCGAGCGUUGUCCGGAAUUACUGGGCGUAAAGGGCGCGCAGGCGGCCGUGUAAGUCCGCUGUGAAAGACCGGGGCUCAACCCCGGGGUGUCAGCGGGGACUGCACGGCUGGAGUCCCGGAGGGGGAGGCGGAAUACCUGGUGUAGCGGUGGAAUGCGUAGAGAUCGGGAAGAACAUCAGUGGCGAAGGCGGCCUGCUGGGCUGUUGCUGACGCUGAGGCGCGACAGCGUGGGGAGCAAACGAGG